CCCAAGAAUUGAAAGUAAGGACUCAAACAGAUACUUGGACUCUGUUCAGAGCAACAUUAUUCACAACAGCCAAAGAUAGAAACAACCUAAGCAUCCCUCAACAAAUGAGUGAAUUUUAAAAAAUGAUUUUAUUUAUUUAUUCAUGAAAGACACAGAGAGAGACACAGGCAGAGGGAGAAGCAGGCUCCAUGCCAGGAGCCCGAUGUGGGACUCGAUCCUAGGUCUCCAAGAUUACGCCCUGGACCGAAGGCAUGAGCCAAACCACUGAGCCACUCAGGGAUUCCCCCAGAAAGUCUUUUCAACAAAAGAUUCUGUAGCACCAGGCACAUGCACUCUUAUAUACUGAAAUCCUGAAAGAAAACAAAGGUAAGCUAAAUUUGAUUUUAGAUUUAGCUAUCCAUUUUCAGUCCUUUAAAAUUAAUCUAAUUCAAAGUAUAAUUCAAUUUUGCAUAUGGGUUCAGAGCAGUUCAAU